rnacentral:rRNA from 1 species
UACGAAGGGGGCUAGCGUUGCUCGGAAUUACUGGGCGUAAAGCGCACGUAGGCGGCUUCUUAAGUCGGUGGUGAAAUCCUGGAGCUCAACUCCAGAACUGCCUUCGAUACUGAGAAGCUCGAGUCCGGGAGAGGUGAGUGGAAUUCCGAGUGUAGAGGUGAAAUUCGUAGAUAUUCGGAAGAACACCAGUGGCGAAGGCGACUCACUGGACACGUAUUGACGCUGAGGUGCGAAAGCGUGGGGAGCAAACAGG